rnacentral:rRNA from 1 species
GAGGAAAAGAAACCAACAGGGAUUGCCUUAGUAGCGGCGAGUGAAGCGGCAAAAGCUCAAAUUUGAAAUCUGGCUCUUUCAGAGUCCGAGUUGUAAUUUGAAGAAGGUAUCUUUGGGUCUGGCUCUUGUCUAUGUUUCUUGGAACAGAACGUCACAGAGGGUGAGAAUCCCGUGCGAUGAGAUGAUCCAGGCCUAUGUAAAGUUCCUUCGAAGAGUCGAGUUGUUUGGGAAUGCAGCUCUAAGUGGGUGGUAAAUUCCAUCUAAAGCUAAAUAUUGGCGAGAGACCGAUAGCGAACAAGUACAGUGAUGGAAAGAUGAAAAGAACUUUGAAAAGAGAGUGAAAAAGUACGUGAAAUUGUUGAAAGGGAAGGGCUUGAGAUCAGACUUGGUAUUUUGUAUGUUACUUCUUCGGGGGUGGCCUCUACAGUUUAUCGGGCCAGCAUCAGUUUGGGCGGUAGGAGAAUUGCGUUGGAAUGUGGCACGGCUUCGGUUGUGUGUUAUAGCCUUCGUCGAUACUGCCAGCCUAGACUGAGGACUGCGGUUUAUACCUAGGAUGUUGGCAUAAUGAUCUUAAGUCGCCCGUCU